rnacentral:rRNA from 1 species
UACGUAGGGGGCAAGCGUUUGUCCGGAUUUAUUGGGCGUAAAGAGCGUGUAGGCGGCCUGAAAGGUCAGCUGUGAAAACUCGAGGCUCAACCUCGAGACGUCGGUUGAAACCAUCUGGCUAGAGUCCGGAAGAGGAGAGUGGAAUUCCCGGUGUAGCGGUGAAAUGCGCAGAUAUCGGGAAGAACACCCGUGGCGAAGGCGGCUCUCUGGGACGGUACUGACGCGUGAGACGCGAAAAGCGUGGGGAGCGAACGAGG